UACGUAGGGGGCAAGCGUUGUCCGGAAUCAUUGGGCGUAAAGCGCGCGUAGGCGGCCCGGUAAGUCCGCUGUAAAAGUCCAGGGCUCAACCCUGGAAAGCCGGUGGAUACUGUCGGGCUAGAGUCCGGAAGAGGCGAGUGGAAUUCCCGGUGUAGCGGUGAAAUGCGCAGAUAUCGGGAGGAACACCUAUGGCGAAGGCAGCUCGCUGGGACGUUACUGACGCUGAGACGCGAAAGCGUGGGGAGCAAACAGG
rnacentral:rRNA from 1 species